AGCUAGCUCCAGUCAGGAUUGCUCAUUCCAGGUGUUUACUGAAUUCUGUCAGCUAUUUUAUCACAUAGUUGCUAACAUGAGAUCCUUCUUCAACUGUUUGCAAACUCAUGAAUGUUUAGAGAAAAAAGGAAAUAAUAGACAAGUGAAAACUGUGUAACCCCUUAAAGAUUAACUUCCCUGCACAUACAGUCAGUUGUAUGUUUCUCUUCAUGCUUGGUUUCCUACAGAGCUUUCUGGACAUGGGCACAGGCCUUCUGUUAGCUCCUAUGACUGCUGUGCAAGAUAGUCUUCAAAAAUAGGCAUGAACUACUAGAUCCAUUUUACUGAAGAGAAAGCUGGAGUACUGAGAGAUUCAAGUUCUCAGCAAAUCUGACACCAACUUGAAAUUUGAGUCCAGAUAUCUGUCACUCCAAAUCUGUGUAUUUGUGCAAUUUGUGACAAGUCUUGAGUUUGCUAUUAAGAACAACAAUGAAUAGCAGUUAC